AAAUUACAAAAGCUAUACGAUUCCUGUUGGGUUCAAUGAAUUCCGUGAACUUCAGCUAAUACAUUGAUACACAAUAGUUUGGCAAUAUCAAUUUGCAUAUAUCUAUAAAUGUGUUAAGUAAAGCUGACGGGACCAGCUUUGGCCCUAAUUUUGUACUCUUUUCGACCUUUCUCAAAAAGUAGAGCUCUGACGCGAAUUCUGAUCAUCGCACGCAAUUCUGUGAACAUUUCUCUACAAGAGACGUUCCUAGCGCGAAUCAAAAAAUUUUUCAAUUCCGUACAGGAAACAAAAUAGUCAUGCGUUACGUUAAAUUUUUAAAAUGCACUGACAAAAGGUCAGUACGUAUGCUAGCUACUUUCAAAAAUCACAGCUGUGUUAUAAUGUUGAGAUAAAAUAAUAUAAUCCUAUUCUGUGAACCAUGUGACAUGUGUGUACACGUGUGACCCAUCGCGAUGCACGCCGCCUCACGGGACAGACACGUAUGACCCGCCGAUGGUGCACGCCGGUGUCAACGUGUUAAUGUACAUUAUUUAGGCCAUUCAAAUUUGCAUAUGUAAGCGUUCGAAUAUUUUCGUGAGCCACUGUAUAUACUUAUAUCAUUUAUACAUAUAUUAUGUUUAUAUUAUGACGUGAUGAUCUACACACGACUAACCUCGUGACAACAACGAUAAUAAAUACAGGCAUUGUCUAGCCGAUCGUCUUUUAGCAACGGUGAUUCGCGUGUUUUUUCCAACGCUCUCCGUUAGUCGUCUAGUUUGUUACAAAGUCACGGUUUACUACACGGACUAGAUGCAUAGUAUACGCACGGUGUAUAAGAAUGAAAAGAGAAAAUGAAAUAAUAUAGUACGAUGUAUGACCAGCGAAUAAAAGAUAUAGAUAUGUGUAUAAAUAAUUUCUAAGUUACAUGGCAUUGUCUGUUUUUGAAGUCAAUUGUAGACACACAGAAAAUAUAUAUUUUGCCUAAUCCUAUACAUAAUGCUUGCAACUCAUCGUCGUACAGCCAUUCUAAUUGAAAUUUGUAGAGUUGUACAUACCUGAAAUAGGGUACUGUGAGAUUUUCUGUGGAUCUGGAAUGCGUGAUAUCCUGGGACAUUCGCCUGGACCUACGAUGCAAC
rnacentral:misc_RNA from 1 species